CUAAACUGAGGAAAGUCGUCCGAUACUGAUCGACUCGAGGGACGUAGAGGGAAGCGGAACUCUCGGAGUAGCGGUGAAAUGCGUAGAGACCGAGAGGUACCCCGAUGGUGAAGACAGCUUCCUGGGUGUCUCCUGACGCUGAAGCGCUAAGGCCAGGGGAGCGAAGGGGAUUAGAUACCCCCGUAGUCCUGGCUUCAAACUAUGUGGGCUUGGCGUCGGCCCCCGACAGAGGGUCGUUGCCGGAGCUAACGUGUUAAGCCCACCGCCUGGGGAUUACGUCCGCAAGGAUGAAACUCAAGGGAAUUGACGGGGGCCCACACAACCGGUGGAGCACGUGGUUUAAUUCGAUGAUAAGCGAAGAACCUUACCAGGGCUUGACCUAGCGGUAGUAGGACCCUGAAAGGGGAACGAACCGAAGCUUUGCUUCGGUAGCC
rnacentral:rRNA from 1 species